rfam:Populus trichocarpa scaffold_1_contig_329, whole genome shotgun sequence.
UAAUCUAUUUAGAGCAGAUCAUCAUCUAAUUAUGAUAAAUUUACACCUGAUUGGUAGUUGUGGUGCUUUAAAAGCGCGACAAGUUUAAAUAUUGCUAUUAUAAAGUGCAAUAACUAUCUUGUUAUGCUUAGAAAUAGAGA